GACGAACGCUGGCGGCGUGCUUAACACAUGCAAGUCGAACGGAAAGGCCCUGCUUUUGUGGGGUGCUCGAGUGGCGAACGGGUGAGUAACACGUGAGUAACCUGCCCUUGACUUUGGGAUAACUUCAGGAAACUGGGGCUAAUACCGGAUAGGAGCUCCUGCUGCAUGGUGGGGGUUGGAACGUUUCGGCGGUUGGGGAUGGACUCGCGGCUUAUCAGCUUGUUGGUGGGGUAGUGGCUUACCAAGGCUUUGACGGGUAGCCGGCCUGAGAGGGUGACCGGCCACAUUGGGACUGAGAUACGGCCCAGAGUCCUACGGGAGGCAGCAGUGGGGAAUAUUGCACAAUGGGCGGAAGCCUGAUGCAGAAACGCCGCGUGCGGGAUGACGGCCUUCGGGUUGUAAACCGCUUUCGCCUGUGACGAAGCGUGAGUGACGGUAAUGGGUAAAGAAGCACCGGCUAACUACGUG
rnacentral:rRNA from 1 species